rnacentral:snoRNA from 1 species
CCCGCCACUAUGCCCGUCUGCAGUGACAGAGUAUAAUCCAGUGGAGGCUCAGAGAAAACCCGGCUUUAGGAAACAGGGCGGUCCACAACAAUGGUCAACUCUGUGCCGUAAAGUUUGGAACAAAA